rnacentral:rRNA from 1 species
UGGGGAAUAUUGCACAAUGGGCGAAAGCCUGAUGCAGCAACGCCGCGUGAGUGAUGAAGGUCUUCGGAUUGUAAAGCUCUGUCUUUUGGGACGAUAAUGACGGUACCAAAGGAGGAAGCCACGGCUAACUACGUGCCAGCAGCCGCGGUAAUACGUAGGUGGCGAGCGUUGUCCGGAUUUACUGGGCGUAAAGGGUGCGUAGGCGGAUGUUUAAGUGAGAUGUGAAAUACCCGGGCUUAACUUGGGUGCUGCAUUUCAAACUGGAUAUCUAGAGUGCAGGAGAGGAGAAUGGAAUUCCUAGUGUAGCGGUGAAAUGCGUAGAGAUUAGGAAGAACACCAGUGGCGAAGGCGAUUCUCUGGACUGUAACUGACGCUGAGGCACGAAAGGCGUGGGUAGCAAACAGGAUUAGAUACCCUGGUAGUCCACGCCGUAAACGAUGAGUACUAGGUGUAGGAGGUAUCGACCCCUUCUGUGCCGCAGUAAACACAUU